UACAGAGGGUGCGAGCGUUGUCCGGAAUCACUGGGCGUAAAGGGCGCGUAGGCGGCUCAGUAAGGUUGCGGUGAAAGCCCGGGGCUCAACCCCGGGUCGGCCGUGGCAACUGCUGAGCUGGAGCACUGUAGAGGCAGGUGGAAUUCCGGGUGUAGCGGUGGAAUGCGUAGAGAUCCGGAAGAACACCGGUGGCGAAGGCGGCUCUCUAGUACGGUACUGACGCUGAGACGCGAAAGCGUGGGGAGCGAACGAGG
rnacentral:rRNA from 1 species